rnacentral:rRNA from 1 species
GACGAACGCUGGCGGCGUGCUUAACACAUGCAAGUCGAACGGAAAGGCCCUGCUUUUGUGGGGUGCUCGAGUGGCGAACGGGUGAGUAACACGUGAGUAACCCGCCCUUGACUUUGGGAUAACUUCAGGAAACUGGGGCUAAUACCGGAGAGGAGCUCCUGCAGCAUGGUGGGGGUUGGAAAGUUUCGGCGGUUGGGGGUGGAGUCGCGGCUUAUCAGCUUGUUGGUGGGGUAGUGGCUUACCAAGGCUUUGACGGGUAGCCCGCCUGGGAGGGUGGCCGGCGACAUUGGGACUGAGGUACGGCGCAGUCGCCUACGUGAGGCAGCAGUCGGGAGUAUUGCACAAUGGGCCGGAGCCUGAUACAACAGCGCCGCGUGCGGAAUGCCGUCCUUCUGGGUGUAAACCGCUGUCGCCUGUGACGUAGCGGGAUUGACGGUAAUGGGUAAAGAAGCACCGGCUAACUACGUG